GCUCGGAGGAGCUUGACGAGGGGGCGGGCUGCAGGUCACGCAGGACAUCUGCCAGUGGCCCACUGUAGGAUUUCUGCUGGGUUCUGGGAUCGCUGAUAACGGUUUCCAGCGGUUCUUUUGUGCGAUUGGGGUACCUGAAAUAAGUACCAGCAGAUAUUUAUUGCGCGUUUCAAUGCUUUCGCAUAUAAUAUAUAGUCUAAUAAUAUUCCGACGGGAUAGGUGAAAUGAUAAACGUCCCUUAAAUUAAACGAGAAUUAAAACGAAAAAUACGAGAGUCGCGGAGGAAGAUAUUGUCUCUCGAAAUUCAUCUGGAACUUGCAAAUAUUUUCCUUGGAUCAUUUUUGUUGUUUUCUGCUAGUUUUAUUGAUCCAGAAUAUUCGAGUUUACGCUGUUUUUGGUCGCAUAAUUGACGGAUAAAUGAAAGCUGUUUCCGAUUUGCAAGCUCGCAUAGAAACCAUAUAUUUGAGAUAGCAUAAAAAUAAUAUUAAUACAUUAACGACUACUGACGUAAUAUCGCAUCUCUCCAAGGCGAAAACAUGUCCAAGUAUAAGCUAGUCGUACCAAGCUGAUUAUGAAUAUCUACAAGGAAAGAAGGAUCUCUUGUGUUUAGUAUAAUUAAUAAUAAUAACCGAUGUAAAAUA